rnacentral:ncRNA from 1 species
UGGGUUCGCCCCGAGAUAGGGAUGGUGGCUCCGUAGAGCAGUGCGGUUCUUGCGCUGUCCGGUGCGCUCGCGUCGGCCCUUGAAAAUCCGAGUGAGGGAGUGUGAUUUUCGUGCCGGACCGUACCCACAUCCGCAUGAGGUCUCCAAGGUGAACAGCCUCUAUUCGAUGGACCAAUGUAGGUAAGGGAAGUCGGCAAAACGGAUCCGUAACCUUGGGAUAAGGAUUGGCUCUGAGGACUGAGCCGGUCGGGCUGGGGACCUGAAGCAGGAACGGCACUGCACCGGGACUGGGCGGGGCUCGCCGUUCACGCGGCGCGGCCAAGCCCGGACCAGCGUCGGGACCUUCCUGUGGAAAGCCUCAGCUGCGCGGCGUCCGAGGGCUUCGUGCCCAAAGUGCUAUGCUGCGGCCGGCAAAAAACAGUCAACUCAGAACUGGCACGGACCGGGGGAAUCCGACUGUCUAAUUAAAACAAAGCAUUGCGAUGGCCGCUGGUCGGUGUUGACGCAAUGUGACUUCUGCCCAGUGCUCUGAAUGUCAACGUGAAGAGAUUCAUCAAAGCGCGGGUAAACGGCGGGAGUAACUAUGACUCUCUUGUGGCGCUACCGCACGACACGCCCCUUGGAUACUAUCACGCUCCCGUUGCUGAGGGAGGGUUAGGGGUUGGUUCCUUCAGCACUGCUAUCCUCUGGAUGCAGGUUCAAAGGCUCUCUCGGAUGGCCACGUCAAGCAGCCCGAUCUGCCGCCAGGCCGCGGACACCUAUAUGGUGAAAACGGCCCUGGACCGAGCAAAGAAGGCUUGCGUGGUGAGGGGAAACAUCUCAGUGAUAAGCAGAGUGUCGGGAAGCACUGGAGUGCACUCCUCCACGCGAGCAAUGACGGCCAUGCCCUCCGUGAGGUGCGGCAUGUGCCGGCAGCGCAGCGUUGGGUCCAGGAGGGCACCGGCUUACUCACGGGGAGAGCCUUCAUAGAUGUCAAUAAGCUGAGGAUCAACGCCCUUCCCGUCCGUACAAGGACUAAAAGAGGCCGUGACACCGACAAGAAUUGUCGAGGGCGCUGUCGGGCAUCCGAAACGCUGGACCAUGUGUUGCAAAAAUGCCACAGGACCCAUGCAGCUCGGAUCAAGCGGCACGACGGCUUGGUUCAAAUAGUCGUGCACCGCCUGAGGAAGAAGGGGUGGACGGUCGAGGUGGAGAAGAGGUUCAAUGGACCUCAAACACUG